rnacentral:rRNA from 1 species
GGGGGGAUUUUGCACAAGGGGCGCAAGCCUGAUGCAGCGACGCCGCGUGAGGGAUGAAGGCCUUCGGGUUGUAAACCUCUUUCGCUGGGUUGAAAGGCCAUGCUUUGGGUGUGGUUGAUUUGAACUGGUAAAGAAGUACCGGCUAACUACGUGCCAGCAGCCGCGGUAAUACGUAGGGUACUAGCGUUGUCCGGAUUUAUUGGGCGUAAAGGGCUUGUAGGUGGUUUGUCGCGUCUGUCGUGAAAUCCUGUGGCUUAACCAUGGGCUUGCGGUGGGUACGGGCAGGCUUGAGUGCGGUAGGGGAGACUGGAAUUCCUGGUGUAGCGGUGGAAUGCGCAGAUAUCAGGAGGAACACCGGUGGCGAAGGCGGGUCUCUGGGCCGUUACUGACACUGAGGAGCGAAAGCGUGGGGAGCGAACAGG